rnacentral:rRNA from 1 species
UACGUAGGCAGCGAGCGUUGUUCGGAGUUACUGGGCGUAAAGGGUGUGUAGGCGGUUGUUUAAGUUUGGUGUGAAAUCUCCCCGGCUCAACUGGGAGGGUGCGCCGAAUACUGAAUGACUUGGAGUGCGGGGAGAGGAAAGUGGAAUUCCUGGUGUAGCGGUGAAAUGCGUAGAUAUCAGGAGGAACACCGGUGGUGUAGACGGCUUUCUGGACCGUAACUGACGCUGAGACACGAAAGCGUGGGUAGCAAACAGG